CGGAGCGGCGGGAUGCGGCAGGGCCGGGCCGCAGGGCUGGCGGGGCUGGCCGCGGUGCUCCUGGUGGCUGCAGGCAGAGCCCAGGUGCAGCAGGAGCCACGGGCAGAGACCAGGGAGGGCACCGGCAUCAACAUCACCUGCUCACACCCCAACAUCCAGUCAAACGACUACAUCUAUUGGUAUCGUCAGCUCCCGGACCGAGGACCCGCAUUCCUCGUGAGGGCUUAUAGUGGGUCCCAAGAUGUGACGGACCUGGCAGGGCGGCUAUCGGUGGCAGCAGACCGCCGGUCCAGCGCCCUGUGGCUCGCCCAGCCCCGGCUUCGGGACGCGGCGGUGUAUUACUGCGCCCUGAGAGCCACGGGGAGAGGAGCCGGGGCUGCGGCCGGGCAGGAACCGUGGCGGGCGGGGCCGGGCGUGUGUGGCGGGGGCGAGGCAGGGGCACAGCCCCCAGGGGGCGCUGCCGCUCCGCCCGCCGGGACCACGUCGCCCCGCAGCCCCGGGGGGCCCCCGCCAGCCCGGCCCUGACCCGUCCCCACUGAGCCCCUUCGGUUCUUCUGGGUAGGACGCUGGAGGUCCGGUGUGGGUCGGACCCAGCUGGGUGUGAGGGGUCAGGACGGCACACCCAGCGAUGUGGAGGAGUGAGUGGAGGGGCACAUCUGACUGCAUGAGCUGUGUGUGGCACCAGAGACCUCCACACAGUCCUGCUCCCACUGCUCCUUUCAAGUUGCUAACAGCUUGCAGAGAGAGGCCUGCAAAUCAACAGGUGUUGAAAUUUGACACAGAGAUGCAAAGCUUCCUUCCCUCCCCAUCUGCACCAUGUUUGUAGUUCCUGGGAGCCCUUCCCAGGGGCCCUGACCAGCACCUUUGGCAUGGAGGGCACCUUCUGCCUGAGUAGCAGCUGGCAAUGCCAGAGUCAUCCAGUCCUGCUGAAUGCUUUCAUUAAGGCCACGAGCAGUCGGAAGGAGGGCACCCUUGGCCAGUUUGUGCAUGGCCCCCAACCGGGGCACACAGGUGGUGACAGCGUAGGUGACAAGGGGGCUUCGGAGAAUGCAGGAAGGCUGGAGAAGGGGGCUGACCAGAGCCUCAGGAUGGUGCAAAGGAGCAAAGAAAAGCAUUUUCCUCUUGGGCAGGAAGCACCCCCAGAGUAAUGCGGGGUGGGGGCUGGCUGCUGAGGAAGCAGAGCCUCAGGAAAGGGUUUUGGGUGCAGGAGGCACCCAGCCACACACGAGGCAGCAGCGCGCCCUUGCAGCAAAGGCAGCCAAGGGCCUGCGGAGCUGGGGGGGCCAGGGGGUGCCCCGCAGUGCGUGGGGCCGGGCAGGUGGGGGGGG